rnacentral:rRNA from 1 species
GCAUGAAGCUGGAAUCGCUAGUAAUCGCGGAUCAGAAUGCCGCGGUGAAUACGUUCCCGGGUCUUGUACACACCGCCCGUCACACCAUGGGAGUCGGGAAUGCCCGAAGCCGGUGGCCCAAUCUUUAAAGAAGGGAGCCGUCGAAGGCAGGCCGGAUGACUGGGGUGAAGUCGUAACAAGGUAAC